UACGUAGGGUGCAAGCGUUGUCCGGAAUUAUUGGGCGUAAAGAGCUUGUAGGCGGUUUGUCGCGUCUGCUGUGAAAUUUCGGGGCUCAACCCCGAACUUGCAGUGGGUACGGGCAGACUAGAGUGUGGUAGGGGAGACUGGAAUUCCUGGUGUAGCGGUGAAAUGCGCAGAUAUCAGGAGGAACACCGAUGGCGAAGGCAGGUCUCUGGGCCGCUACUGACGCUGAGAAGCGAAAGCAAGGGGAGCGAACAGG
rnacentral:rRNA from 1 species